UACGUAGGGUCCGAGCGUUGUCCGGAAUUAUUGGGCGUAAAGAGCUCGUAGGCGGUCUGUCGCGUCGGCUGUGAAAUCCCGAGGCUCAACCUCGGGUCUGCAGUCGAUACGGGCAAACUGGAGUGUUGCAGGGGAGACUGGAAUUCCUGGUGUAGCGGUGAAAUGCGCAGAUAUCAGGAGGAACACCGGUGGCGAAGGCGGGUCGCUGGGCAACAACUGACGCUGAGGAGCGAAAGCGUGGGGAGCGAACAGG
rnacentral:rRNA from 1 species